rnacentral:rRNA from 1 species
GGGUGAGUAACACGUGGGUAACCUACCUAUAAGACUGGGAUAACUUCGGGAAACCGGAGCUAAUACCGGAUAACAUUUAGAACCGCAUGGUUCUAAAGUGAAAGAUGGUUUUGCUAUCACUUAUAGAUGGACCCGCGCCGUAUUAGCUAGUUGGUAAGGUAACGGCUUACCAAGGCGACGAUACGUAGCCGACCUGAGAGGGUGAUCGGCCACACUGGAACUGAGACACGGUCCAGACUCCUACGGGAGGCAGCAGUAGGGAAUCUUCCGCAAUGGGCGAAAGCCUGACGGAGCAACGCCGCGUGAGUGAUGAAGGGUUUCGGCUCGUAAAACUCUGUUAUUAGGGAAGAACAAAUGUGUAAGUAACUGUGCACAUCUUGACGGUACCUAAUCAGAAAGCCACGGCUAACUACGUGCCAGCAGCCGCGGUAAUACGUAGGUGGCAAGCGUUAUCCGGAAUUAUUGGGCGUAAAGCGCGCGUAGGCGGUUUCUUAAGUCUGAUGUGAAAGCCCACGGCUCAACCGUGGAGGGUCAUUGGAAACUGGGAAACUUGAGUGCAGAAGAGGAAAGUGGAAUUCCAUGUGUAGCGGUGAAAUGCGCAGAGAUAUGGAGGAACACCAGUGGCGAAGGCGACUUUCUGCUCUGUAACUGACGCUGAUGUGCGAAAGCGUGGGGAUCAAACAGGAUUAGAUACCCUGGUAGUCCACGCCGUAAACGAUGAGUGCUAAGUGUUAGGGGGUUUCCGCCCCUUAGUGCUGCAGCUAACGCAUUAAGCACUCCGCCUGGGGAGUACGACCGCAAGGUUGAAACUCAAAGGAAUUGACGGGGACCCGCACAAGCGGUGGAGCAUGUGCUUUAAUUCGAAGCAACGCGAAGAACCUUACCAAAUCUUGACAUCCUUUGAAAACUCUAGAGAUAGAGCUUUCCCCUUCGGGGGACAAAGUGACAGGUGGUGCAUGGUUGUCGUCAGCUCGUGUCGUGAGAUGUUGGGUUAAGUCCCGCAACGAGCGCAACCCUUAAGCUUAGUUGCCAUCAUUAAGUUG